rnacentral:rRNA from 1 species
AACGAACGCUGGCGGCAUGCCUAACACAUGCAAGUCGAACGAGACCUUCGGGUCUAGUGGCGCACGGGUGCGUAACGCGUGGGAACCUGCCCUUAGGUUCGGAAUAACUCCCCGAAAGGGGUGCUAAUACCGGAUAAUGUCUUCGGACCAAAGAUUUAUCGCCUUUGGAUGGGCCCGCGUUGGAUUAGCUAGUUGGUAGGGUAAAAGCCUACCAAGGCGACGAUCCAUAACUGGUCUGAGAGGAUGAUCAGCCACACUGGGACCGAGACACGGCCCAGACUCCUACGGGAGGCAGCAGUGGGGAAUAUUGGACAAUGGGCGAAAGCCUGAUCCAGCAAUGCCGCGUGAGUGAUGAAGGCCUUAGGGUUGUAAAGCUCUUUUACCCGGGAUGAUAAUGACAGUACCGGGAGAAUAAGCUCCGGCUAACUCCGUG